rnacentral:rRNA from 1 species
UACGGGGGGAGCAAGCGUUGUUCGGAUUUACUGGGCGUAAAGGGCGCGUAGGCGGUCAGCUCAAGUCAGACGUGAAAUCCCCCGGCUUAACCUGGGAACUGCGUCUGAUACUGGAGGGCUUGAGUAUGGGAGAGGGAUGUAGAAUUCCAGGUGUAGCGGUGAAAUGCGUAGAUAUCUGGAGGAAUACCGGUGGCGAAGGCGGCAUCCUGGACCAUAACUGACGCUGAGGCGCGAAAGCUAGGGGAGCAAACGGG